rnacentral:rRNA from 1 species
AGGACGAACGCUGGCGGCGUGCUUAACACAUGCAAGUCGAGCGGUAAGGCCUUUCGGGGUACACGAGCGGCGAACGGGUGAGUAACACGUGGGUGAUCUGCCCUGCACUUCGGGAUAAGCCUGGGAAACUGGGUCUAAUACCGGAUAUGACCUCCUAUCGCAUGGUGGGUGGUGGAAAGAUUUAUCGGUGCAGGAUGGGCCCGCGGCCUAUCAGCUUGUUGGUGGGGUAAUGGCCUACCCAGGCGACGACGGGUAGCCGACCUGAGAGGGUGACCGGCCACACUGGGACUGAGACACGGCCCAGACUCCUACGGGAGGCAGCAGGUGGGAAUAUUGCACAAUGGGACGAAAGCCUGAUGCAGCGACGCCGCGUGAGGAUGACGGCCUUCGGGUUGUAAACCUCUUUCAGCAGGACGAAGCGCAAGUGACGGUACUGCAGAAGAAGCACCGCUAACUACGUGCCAGCACGCCGC